UUCUUCUUCAACACUUCGAAUGGGAAGGAUUUACUCCAGACACACGACAAGGCCCUCAUCCCCGUCAUUCGCAGGAGGAAAAGACAGAGGUAUCGUGGACGACGGUCCGGGUGCCCUGUAAGGAUCCGUYGCUGAGAGGUCAAUUGGACGACGCUUUGCGUUCGUGUGGAAGGAAAUGUGCAACACAAUCAAACAUGAGGAGAGUGAACGUGACA